GCCCGCUUUUUUUAAGCUCAUUACUUUGAUGUGUUAAUUUCUGAUAAAUUUUGAUCAAAUCCAAAUUCUGACUUUAAACCUCAAUGCUUUGUAUGCAAUAACAGUUGCCAGACAGUCAGAUCUUUGUUAUAAUUGAGUACUUUCGUUUUGUCAACCAACGUUUUUGUCUCCCAUGUUUCAUGUUGUGAAACUUUAACGCGUUGGUGAUCAUUAAAAACUAGGUUUUCGGUCAAAAACUGGCUUUGUGUUGAUUUAUUACCAUUAAUUUUGUCCUUCUGAUGGCUAUUUGGUUUAUUUUCAGACUUCCUUUCAACAAUAUUUUCCAAUUCUCCGUAAGUAAUUUUCACAGUUUUUAAUUUGGCAGCCAUUUUCAACUGCCGCCAUAUCGAAUCUCCUACACAAAAGAGUUCAUCAACAGAAAUAACUUGGUCGUACGGUGUACAGAUUAUAUUAAACAUUAUUUUGCAUUUAGGAAAAAUAUAACGGGUUUAGCAACAUAUUCAAGACAUUUAUAUUUAUAUUUUUUACAGUAUGAGAAAGAAAAAACAUCGCUUUCUUUGUUUUAAAACGAACCAAUUUUACUAAAGGAACUAAAGGGGCACUACUA
rnacentral:lncRNA from 1 species